GACGAACGCUGGCGGCGUGCCUAGUACAUGCAAGUAGAACGCUGAAGGAGGAGCUUGCUUCUCUGGAUGAGUUGCGAACGGGUGAGUAACGCGUAGGUAACCUGCCUGGUAGCGGGGGAUAACUAUUGGAAACGAUAGCUAAUACCGCAUAAGAGUAGAUGUUGCAUGACAUUUGCUUAAAAGGUGCAAUUGCAUCACUACCAGAUGGACCUGCGUUGUAUUAGCUAGUUGGUGGGGUAACGGCUCACCAAGGCGACGAUACAUAGCCGACCUGAGAGGGUGAUCGGCCACACUGGGACUGAGACACGGCCCAGACUCCUACGGGAGGCAGCAGUAGGGAAUCUUCGGCAAUGGACGGAAGUCUGACCGAGCAACGCCGCGUGAGUGAAGAAGGGUUUCGGAUCGUAAAGCUCUGUUGUAAGAGAAGAACGAGUGUGAGAGUGGAAAGUUCACACUGUGACGGUAUCUUACCAGAAAGGGACGGCUAACUACGUG
rnacentral:rRNA from 1 species